rnacentral:misc_RNA from 1 species
CUUCCAAUAUGGUGGCGCCCAGUGAAUUGUCGUUAUCAGAGAUACGCAAAUAUUUAUUAGAAAAAGGUGGUAUUGCGCGAAAUCGUGAUGUAGUAAAACAUUUCAAGAGUUUUUUAACUGAUCCGGAAACUCGAGUCGAGGCACGAAAUAAAUUUAAAGAAUACGUAAAUCUGUUGGCGACAAUAAAAACUGUUGAGGGGGAAAAAUAUUUAGGAUUAAAGAAAAAGUAUAGAUAUAGCUUAGAAGAUCUUGAAUCGACGAAUCAUCCUACAUCAAGUGAAUCACCAGUGCCUACACCUGAUUUUUUUACACCAACAUCACCCUUUCGAGAUCCACCACCAUACAGGCCGCCACCACCUGCACCACUCAGCCCCUCAAAUCUAUCAGACACAUCAUAUUCAGCAGACUUAACUUCACCUGAAGAACUUUAUGCAAUUCCUUCUAAAUUAAAAACUUCACAAGAUGAAAGAAGUCGACCGACAAGUAGUGAGACUUCAGAAAGUAAUAAUACUGGGCCUGUUUCAUCACCACCUGUACCUCCUCGAAGAAAAAGUCAAGAUAAGUUGAAGUUGGAAAAUAAAGAAAAUAUUAAUGCUGACAAAGGAAAAAACGAGAUAGAGCCUACGAUCAAGGAAGAUGAAACUACAGAGACUCUUGGAACAUCAGAAUUGCCAAGUGUUCGUGAACGAAUGCAACGGUUCAACCGGAUGGCAAGUGAAACUGAUCUUCAUGGUCGACCAAACGGUACCACAACUCCUACUAAGAAGCGUUCUGACAAGGGAGCAGACGAGGAUGACAGUGCUUCAGUGGCAUCACAACUGGAUGGCAAAGCUCGCGAAUGGUUGGUAAGAGCUGCACAAGGUGACUAUCAGACAUUAGCAAAGCUAGCUGCUGAGGAGCCCCGUUUAGUCAGACAGAAGGAUCCCUCAUCCGGUUAUACUGCAUUGCAUUGGGGAGCUAAGCAUGGGGAUGAAAACAUCGUCAAGUUGAUAGCUGGCACCCACGGGGACAAGAUAAAGAGUGUCAAUGAAACAACAAAUGGGGGUUACACGGCACUCCACAUAGCCAUGCAGUUUAAUCACGAGAAUAUCUUCAACCUUCUUGUCCAGGUGUAUGGUGCAAAUCAGGAGAUUCGUGAUCACAGUGGUAAAAAAGCCAGGCAAUACUUGGCCUCACAGGAAGCAGCAGUUAGUCAAGAUACAUUUCGCAGGAUUAUUGCUGCUGCUACACUCAGAAAUAAAAGCAAGGAAAAAGCACACAGAGAAAGAUCUUGGUUUCCUACGAAUUGGCUCACUGAACGUGCGCGUGAAACGUACGACGGAAGCUUUCAGCCAGUUCUUGGGUGUAGCCAGUAGUACAAGCACCAAUCAUGAUAAAAUUCAUAAAACUUGGGGUUCUGCUGAUAACAUACAAGAACAUGCACUUAUGCCACCACCAAAAUAUGCUCCAAUCAAAAAACGAAGAAGUAAAAGAGCACAAGACUUUAAUUCUUUACGAAAUCAACAUGCAGCAAGUCAACCAAGUACCCCGUUACCACAAAACAAGGGUGUCAUA